rnacentral:lncRNA from 1 species
GGAUGUGACUCCCAGGAGGAGCGGCGGCAGAUGAAGGAGGACAUCGAGAGGAGGAGGAUGGAGGCAGCAGAGAGGAUGAAGAACCUGAGCACGUCCAGCGUGGACGGAGACGAGACGUUCAGCCCAUUCAGCCCCAAAGUCCCGACACACAAGCUGAAGGGUUCGGUCUCAGCAUCACAGAGAGGACGGAGUCCCUGAACCGCUCACUGAAGAAGAGGUGAGCUCCUCUUUAGUUUAAGUGUCUCUAAGUGCUCUGGAGGCUGGUGUGACACAUGAAGGUCAGAACUGCAGGUCCUUCUGCGGCCUCUGGAGGCUGACCCACUCCCCUCACACCUCCAUGUUGAAAUGUCCCGGCUUCUACCAGGCUGGUUGGACAUUUUAACAGUGCUGCCACUGACUGCAGUUA